GUUCGCCCCAUCCCUCCCCGUGCGUCUUUCGGGGCGCGCGGGGCGAAAGAAUGCUCCUGAGAGCUUCCUGGGCGGAAAUAUUUCCGCCGGGCGUCGCCAUCAGAAAUUCAGCAGGCUAUGCUUGCAUGGGAGGCGGCGCGGAUGGUUGGUCUCUCACAAUGUGGAGAGGCUGUUGAGUGCAAUUUGCGGCCCUGGCA
rnacentral:misc_RNA from 1 species